rnacentral:lncRNA from 1 species
GUCAAUCUCCUUGGUACCAACUUGGAAAGCUUUAGUCAAGACAUUGUCAGGAACUGCUGGGGUUGAAGUAAACAAGGUCAUGGCAAUGGACUGGGUACCAGGCAACUGACUAUUGAAUGCUGAAAUUACAGAGGCUGCCUUGUCACCGUUGUUCUUCUGGAAAUGAACUAAACCUCUAGGGAACACAAAGACUUCGCCUUUCUUGACAGUCUUUGAGAUCAAUUUGUUUGCAGUGGUGAUAAAUCCAACAUCCAGUUCACCUUCCAACACAAAGAUCAUUUCAGUGGCUCGGGGGUGAGUGUGAGGUGGGUUAAGGCCGUCAGGUGCAUAGUCAAUACGAGACAGUGACACGCCUAGGGUGUUUAGGCCUGGGAUUUUCUCAACAUUGCCUCCUGUUACAAGUGAUCCUACUGAAUUGUUAACUUUUCCUGGUUUGGCUAGAC